GUCCACGCCGUAAACGAUGGAUGCUAGCCGUCGGCAAGCUUGCUUGUCGGUGGCGCAGCUAACGCAUUAAGCAUCCCGCCUGGGGAGUACGGCCGCAAGGUUAAAACUCAAAGGAAUUGACGGGGGGCCCGCACAAGCGGUGGAGCAUGUGGUUUAAUUCGACGCAACGCGAAGAACCUUACCAGCCCCUUGACAUGUCCGGUGGUUUCCAGAGAUGGAUUCCUCCUAGCAAUAGGUCGGAACACAGGUGCUGCAUGGCUGUCGU
rnacentral:rRNA from 1 species